CUGAGAUGAGCUUUGCAAAUUGCUUGCAUAAAGGCAACCAAGUGACUGUACUCUAAAAGCCUUCCUUAGGUAUUUCACACACAUUACUGCACUUCUAAAAGAGACAGCACACAAAAAGAAUUUGAACAAAGGCUACCCCGAUACAGCCUUUCGGCUUCUAUGUUAUGAAUAUUGAUAAGGUGCCAUUCUCAACAGCAGAAUUUUUAAAGAACAAUAAAAGGGAGAGAGAUGGUUACUUGUAAGUAUGAACUGUGGAGGAAAGUUCAUGGAAUUUUGACAAAAC